rnacentral:siRNA from 1 species
UGGUACUCGAGGUGGUAUCUGUAA